AACGUAGGGUGCAAGCGUUGUCCGGAAUUACUGGGUGUAAAGGGAGCGCAGGCGGAUUGACAAGUUGGGAGUGAAAACUACGGGCUCAACCCGUAACCUGCUUUCAAAACUGUCAGUCUUGAGUGGUGUAUAGGUAGGCGGAAUUCCCGGUGUAGCGGUGGAAUGCGUAGAUAUCGGGAGGAACACCAGUGGCGAAGGCGGCCUACUGGGCACUAACUGACGCUGAGGCUCGAAAGCAUGGGUAGCAAACAGG
rnacentral:rRNA from 1 species